rnacentral:lncRNA from 1 species
AAUGUAUUCGAAAGAACUAUUGUAGAAUAUUUUUUUAUCUUCGAUAUUUAGCAUGCGGAGAUAAUAAAUAUUGCAUUUUUUCGACUUAACAAUCAUCACAAAAACUUUUAUAAAAAUAUUGCUUUUAUCAAACGUCAAGAACAACGAAGGAUGCAACACUAUUAAAAAUAUAUAGAAAAAAAUUAAUAUUUAUUUUAACAGUUUAGAAUAGAGAAAUAAUACGUAAUUGUUAAAAUAGUAAAAUAAUACAUGACAGCAAACGUUAUAUAUUUUCUGUACCAAUAUCUAUUACAUAGUAAGCCUACAUAUAUAUUUGUUCAUUAUCCUUGUGUUUUAUUUUAUCAUUCUAUUUAGGUUUUAAAAAAGAUAAUAAUGUUUUAGCGAUUCAGUACGUCACACAUAUAAAAAAAGUGACUUAAAAUAUUAUUAUUAGAUAAUAAACUAUUUAAAUAUGCGUGCUUUUUAACACUAAAUGUAAGUGUUACAAAGGCAAUGACUCAAUUUGUAAUAAUUAAAAAACAGCAAGGAUUUUUUAAAGUUAACGAAUAUCGAUAUCCAUUUCCACGUGAAAAUAUACGAUGAGUACAGCCGUCAAUAUAAGUAAAAAUUUCGUAGUACUUUGUUGAUUACGGAAGAAAAAGUUAAAAAAAUAUAUAUACAUUUGGAAAAAAAUCUUUGGAAAAAACGUCAUUAAAAAAGAAUUAUUUAUUUCCAAAAUUCUCUAGGAAUUCUGAAGGAUGAUCGAUCAUUCUAUAUAGUGGCCGUAACAUAUCUAUUAUACUUCACACAUAUAUUUUUUAAUGGUAGGAAGUAGUAAGUGAAUUAAUCAGAUGCGUAACAAAGAAAUGCGAUAAUGUAUUACCAGCCUACAUAUAUUUUAAAUAGACUACAAUACUACCUAAUAAUACAACCGACCGAGAUUUUAGAUCAAUCGGUUUAGUCAAUCCUGAGAAAAAAUUUUUUUUCUAUUUUUUUGAUAUUUGGCUUUUUCUUAAAAAUCAAUUGAGUUAGGGAUCAGAAACUUUCAGGAUCUUAUUUUAUCAGUACCUACAUAUCUUCUAAGUAUCAUUAAAUUAUCUCUCGAAGGCAAAUUCAAUAUGCUUAUACCCCUAUGGCCUUUCACAAAGCAAUAUAUACGAAUAUUCAUUACGGUUAUAGGAUAAGAACUGGGAUCUUUUUAUCCAUCAACUAAUAAAAAAAAAACUCUUCAAAGAGGAGUCAUAUGUGCGUUAAACAAUAUACGAAGUGAGAGCACUUGGCAAUAUAAGCGAUGUAAGGCAAAGAGUGAAAGAGGGUCAAAGGAAAAUAUAAGAUGGUGGGGAUUCGAGCGAACUUUUUUCAAAGG